CUAGCACCAUCUGAAAUCGGUUA
rnacentral:ncRNA from 4 species